GUGAUAUUGAAAUGGACUAGAAAAGUACCCAUGAUUAUGUUCUUCUUCUAGUUCACUGAGGGGCCUUGGCUUUGUUCUACACUACGCUGAGGGGUCUUGAUUGGGGAUAAAGGUGUAUUGAUCGUGUAUAUAUAGUUUACUGAAGAGUCUUGACCAUGUUCUAAAAAUGAUUAUGAGAGGUCCUUAAGACUCGCUUUUGUUCAUUAAGGGGGCCGGGGUCCAUGUUGAGAGUGAUUAGCUUGAGGGACAGUCUAUGCGCAUAAGACUAGAUAACAGAUUUCGAUCAGAGGGUACCUUUUUGGUUGAUUUUGGAGGACAUUUAAUGUGAUGAUAUGAUUUUAUAGAUUUUAGCUGAUGAUUAGGUCAUGAUGAUGAGAUGAUAUUUUUUCAAUGUUAUGAGAUAUCUCGCUUCUUGAUGAUGA
rnacentral:lncRNA from 1 species